rnacentral:lncRNA from 1 species
GCAUUCUGUGCUGAGGUGUAUUGCCAUAGAUCUCUUAAAAGAUUUUAGAUUGAAUUAAGAUUUGACUGUGUCCCUGAAGUUAUUCCAUAAUUGCAGUGCUCUGUAGGAAAAGGAAGAUUGAGCCACUUUAUUUUUGUAUUGCGGUAUGCUAAAUAUCGUGCUAGUACUGGAUCGGAGGUGGAAACAGCCGGGGAGAGCAUUCUACUCAGGUAGGGUGGGAGCUUCCCAGAAAUGCUCUUAUGCACAAGGCUGGAAAGAUGAAGAGUGCAUCGGGAUUCCAGCGACAGCCAGUUUAGCUCUUUUAACAUGUCACAGUGGUGGGUAAAGUAAUUACAUUCUAGUACAAAGUG